UAAAUACUCCCUCUGUCCGAAAAUACUUGUCAUCAAAAUGAAUAAAAAGAGAUGUAUCUAAAACUAAAAUUCGUCUAGAUACAUUUCCUUUUAUCCAUUUUGAUGACAAGUAUUUCCGAACGGAGGGAGUAUUUG
rfam:Triticum aestivum genome assembly, contig: Triticum_aestivum_CS42_TGACv1_scaffold_404297_5BL